rnacentral:rRNA from 1 species
UACGGAGGGUGCGAGCGUUGUCCGGAAUCACUGGGCGUAAAGGGCGCGUAGGCGGCGCGGGCAGUCAACGGUGAAAGCUCGGAGCUCAACUCCGAGUCGGCCGUCGAUACUCCCGUGCUUGAGCACUGUAGAGGCAGGUGGAAUUCCGGGUGUAGCGGUGGAAUGCGUAGAUAUUCGGAAGAACACCAGUGGCGAAGGCGGCUCACUGGUCCGGUACUGACGCUGAGGUGCGAAAGCGUGGGGAGCAAACAGG